AGAUACUAGCUGUGUGACCCUAGGUAAUACCUAAUUGCCUGAGUGGGACCCUGCCUUCCUCCAGCCAAUCAUGAUCUUUCCUGGUGUGUACCCAAAGAACCAGGUAUGACUGCCUGUAUUUCAUUGAAUUAUCAAUUCAACUUGUAUGAACUGAUGCAGAGUGAAGUUUGCAGAAAAAAAAGAGAACAGUAUCUACAAUGACUAUAACAACGUAGUAGAAAGCAACUUUAAAAAGGUUAAGAAUUCUGAUGAACAAAAUAUCAACCAUAACUUCGGAAGACUGGUGACAAAACGUGCUUCCCCACUUCUUGGCAGAGAGGUGAUAGACCAGAGGUGCAAAAUGAGGCAUAUAUCUUAGGAAAGGCAAUGUGUGGGUUUGUUUUGACUUGAUUUUACAUAUUUGCCUAAAGGAAGAGCUUCUAUUUAGGAAGGGAGGCAUCUAAAAGUUGGGAAGGGUGUUGGUAGACAGUGGUAGACAGUUGGUAGAUAGUCAUAGAAAAAAAAAACCCAAAGAAUGAAAGAAAAGAGCAUCGAUGAAACAUUGAAAAAUAUAUAGAAGAAAGCAGAAGGAAGCUCGGGAGAGAACCAGACAAGCAGGGUGGUUUGGGAACUCUUGUUUUAAAUGUAAUAUGUACUUUAAAAAACAAAUUGUAUGUAAUAGAAAUUCAUAGUUUCACAUCCAAUCCUCUUUUUUUCUAGUCUUUGUGUGUUGAAGUGUUCAUAUUUCUAGAAUUUGUUAAUACAUAAUAAAAUAAAUAAUGAUAAAA